AGUGAACGCUGGCGGUAGGCCUAACACAUGCAAGUCGAACGGCAGCACAGUAAGAGCUUGCUCUUACGGGUGGCGAGUGGCGGACGGGUGAGGAAUACAUCGGAAUCUACUUUUUCGUGGGGGAUAACGUAGGGAAACUUACGCUAAUACCGCAUACGACCUACGGGUGAAAGCAGGGGAUCUUCGGACCUUGCGCGAUUGAAUGAGCCGAUGUCGGAUUAGCUAGUUGGCAGGGUAAAGGCCCACCAAGGCGACGAUCCGUAGCUGGUCUGAGAGGAUGAUCAGCCACACUGGAACUGAGACACGGUCCAGACUUCUACGGGAGGCAGCAGUGGGGAAUAUUGGACAAUGGGCGCAAGCCUGAUCCAGCCAUACCGCGUGGGUGAAGAAGGCCUUCGGGUUGUAAAGCCCUUUUGUUGGGAAAGAAAAGCAGCAGGUUAAUACCCCGCUGUUCUGACGGUACCCAAAGAAUAAGCACCGGCUAACUUCGUG
rnacentral:rRNA from 1 species